AAUCACUUGUAGGAAAAGUCCAUUCCUAGUGAAGUAAUGAGGUCUGACAUUCUGUAGGAAAUGAGCAGGAAACGAGCAAAUGAUUCAUGAGGCUUUACAGAAGAGGGCCAGAGCAAGGUGGGCAUCCAUUUCAGGCUUGUCCUAAGAUGUGGGCAGAGAGUUGAGAAGACCCUGGUACAGACAGACACAGGAACCACCUCAGCCUAGAGGGGUUUUGUGUAGAGCUGUGUAGACUGCAUGGAUGGGAAGUAUCUGAUGACUUUUUAAAAGUGUUCAAACGCCCUGUUAGUAGGGAACUGACAAUACUUCACUGUCUUCCCAGGAUUGCCAUGAGAAAAUCAGAGUGCUUUCUCAGCAGGCAGCUUCUGUGGUUAAGCAGGAAGGGGGUGACAAUGACCUCAUAGAGCGUAUCCAGGCUGAUGCCUACUUCAGUCCCAUUCACUCCCAGUUGGAUCAUUUACUGGAUCCUUCUUCUUUCACUGGUCGUGCCUCCCAGCAGGUGCAGAGAUUCUUAGAAGAGGAGGUGUAUCCCCUGUUAAAACCAUAUGAAAGCGUGAUGAAGGUGAAAGCAGAAUUAUGUCUGUAGAGCUGGAAGAGAAUUAAACGAAAAUCAUUGUUAA
rnacentral:sRNA from 1 species